GUGAUGACCAGCCUCUGGACAUAAAGAAAAGCCACCCUCCUGAGGAAGAAGACACCAACAAGAGAAAAACUAGGAGAGGAACAAGAGGAAAAGGGCGGAAAAUCGUCUAUAAUAAAGAAAAACAUCCAAAUGACAAACUAGAUGGACAGAGAGGUUCAAGAGGUUCUUCUGGACAGACAAACAACGUAAAGAACUGCGACCA